rnacentral:rRNA from 1 species
UGGGGAAUAUUGGACAAUGGGCGAAAGCCUGAUCCAGCCAUGCCGCGUGUGUGAAGAAGGUCUUCGGAUUGUAAAGCACUUUAAGUUGGGAGGAAGGGCAGUAAGCGAAUACCUUGCUGUUUUGACGUUACCGACAGAAUAAGCACCGGCUAACUCUGUGCCAGCAGCCGCGGUAAUACAGAGGGUGCAAGCGUUAAUCGGAAUUACUGGGCGUAAAGCGCGCGUAGGUGGUUCGUUAAGUUGAAUGUGAAAGCCCCGGGCUCAACCUGGGAACUGCAUCCAAAACUGGCGAGAUAGAGUAGGGCAGAGGGUGGUGGAAUUUCCUGUGUAGCGGUGAAAGGCGUAGAUAUAGGAAGGAAAACCAGUGGCGAAGGCGACCACCUGGGCUCAUACUGACACUGAGGUGCGAAAGCGUGGGGAGCAAACAGG